rnacentral:rRNA from 1 species
GACGAACGCUGGCGGCGCGCUUAACACAUGCAAGUCGAGCGGUAAGGCCCUUUCGGGGGUACACGAGCGGCGAACGGGUGAGUAACACGUGGGUGACCUGCCCUCAGCUCUGGGAUAAGCCCGGGAACUGGGUCUAAUACUGGAUAUUACUCUGCGGUGCAUGCCGUGGGGUGAAAGCCUUGUGCGGCUGGGGAUGGGCCCGNGGCCUAUCAGCUU